AACGUAGGAGGCGAGCGUUAUCCGGAUUUACUGGGCGUAAAGCGUACGCAGGUGGCUUAGCAAGUCGGACAUGAAAGCUCCUGGCUUAACUGGGAGAGGUGGUUCGAAACUGCUGAGCUUGAGGUUGGGAGAGGGACGUGGAAUUCCCGGUGUAGUGGUGGAAUGCGUAGAUAUCGGGAGGAACACCAGUGGCGCAAGCGGCGUCCUGGCCCACACCUGACGCUGAGGUACGAAAGCGUGGGUAGCAAACAGG
rnacentral:rRNA from 1 species